rnacentral:rRNA from 1 species
GUGGGGAAUAUUGGACAAUGGGCGAAAGCCUGAUCCAGCCAUGCCGCGUGUGUGAAGAAGGUCUUCGGAUUGUAAAGCACUUUAAGUUGGGAGGAAGGGCAGUAAGUUAAUACCUUGCUGUUUUGACGUUACCAACAGAAUAAGCACCGGCUAACUUCGUGCCAGCAGCCGCGGUAAUACGAAGGGUGCAAGCGUUAAUCGGAAUUACUGGGCGUAAAGCGCGCGUAGGUGGUUUUGUAAGUUGGAGGUGAAAUCCCCGGGCUCAACCUGGGAACUGCCUAAAAAAAUGAAUGACUAGAGUACGGUAGAGGGUAGUGGAAUUUCCUGUGUAGAGGUGAAAUGCGUAGAUAUAGGAAGGAACACCAGUGGCGAAGGCGACUACCUGGACUGAUACUGACACUGAGGUGCGAAAGCGUGGGGAGCAAACAGGAUUAGAAACCCUAGUAGUCC